UUGUUGUUGGGCAUUGACCGUCACGUAUCGUGCUUUAAUUUUGUGCAUUUAAUUAACAUCCAAUCAAAGCGUGACAUGUGGCGGUCAACGUUC
rfam:Glycine max cultivar Williams 82 chromosome 3, whole genome shotgun sequence.